UACAGAGGUCCCAAGCGUUGUUCGGAUUUACUGGGCGUAAAGGGUGCGUAGGUGGUCGGGUAAGUCUCAUGUGAAAUCUCCAGCUUAACUUGGAAAUGGCAUGGGAUACUAUUCGGCUAGAGGAUUGGAGGGGGAGCUGGAAUUCCCGGUGUAGCAGUGAAAUGCGUAGAUAUCGGGAGGAACACCAGUGGCGAAGGCGAGUCCCUGGACAAUUCCUGACGCUGAGGCACGAAAGCUAGGGGAGCAAACAGG
rnacentral:rRNA from 1 species